AACGAACGUUAGCGGCGCGCUUAACACAUGCAAGUCGAACGAGAAAGGGCUUCGGCCCCGGUACAGUGGCGCACGGGUGAGUAACACGUGGGUAAUCUUCCCUCGGGCGGGGGAUAACAUUCCGAAAGGAGUGCUAAUACCGCAUAAGACCACGAGGUCGAAAGGCCUUGAGGAAAAAGCUGGCCUCUGCAUGCAAGCUAGCACCUGAGGAUGAGCCCGCGGCCCAUCAGCUAGUUGGUAGGGUAAUGGCCUACCAAGGCGAAGACGGGUAGCUGGU
rnacentral:rRNA from 1 species